rnacentral:rRNA from 1 species
AGAAUCAACGCUGGCGGCGUGCCUAACACAUGCAAGUCGAACGAGAAAGUGGAGCAAUCCAUGAGUAAAGUGGCGCACGGGUGAGUAACACGUGACUAACCUACCCUUGAGUGGGGGAUAACCUAGGGAAACCUGGGCUAAUACCGCAUAAUACCUUCGGGUCAAAGGAGCAAUUCGCUUAAGGAGGGGGUCGCGGCCGAUUAGUUAGUUGGCGGGGUAAUGGCCCACCAAGACUGUGAUCGGUAUCCGGCCUGAGAGGGCGCACGGACACACUGGAACUGAAACACGGUCCAGACUCCUACGGGAGGCAGCAGUGGGGAAUUUUGCGCAAUGGGGGAAACCCUGACGCAGCAACGCCGCGUGGAGGAUGAAGCCCCUUGGGGCGUAAACUCCUUUCGAUCGGGACGAUAAAUGACGGUACCGGAAGAAGAAGCCCCGGCUAACUUCGUGCCAGCAGCCGC